AAAACGAGUGUGCCAUGAAAUAUGUUAGCCUAUGUAAUGUGUUGUAAAGAUCGCGAGUAAAAACAAAAGAAAAAGAAAAGCUUACAGCGGCAUGAGUCUUGACUGUCAUGUUAGCCUGAUGAGACCAAACUUCCUCUGGUACUGGCAGAAUAUCUGGAAAGAAUUGAGCAAUAAUAGCAAAUUUUGGUGAUGACGUGGCCAUAAUCCACUAAUAAAAACAAUUGCCAAGCAACCCGAUGAGAACAUAUCUGAAACUGAAUUCCAUGCGACCCAGAUGGAAACAAGAAAAAAGGACACAGGUGCAUGCUUUGACCGCUGUAAGGAGGCGAUAGUGGAAAUUGUCUUGUUUUGUCACAAGCCUGUGAUACAAAUCUCUCUUUGCUAGAGAUGAAUGAAAGGAUUUAUGCUAGCAAAGACCUCUGUUAAGUGCAGGUCAACUGCUAAGAAGAAGUAGAGCUUUGAUUUCAUGCAAGACUGUCACUAACACUUCUACACUCUAAGAAAAGUCUUUCAAAAUGUGGUUCAGUGUUCUAUGUUAAUAUGGCAAUUUUUCACAGGUGUGUUACCCUGUGUUUUAGGGUUAAUGGAAAUGUCUGUAAACUUAACGGAUAAUCUCCUGGCAGAAAAUUACCAGUACAAUUUUCCAUUUUUCUACGUACGUUUUUUUUGUUUGUUUUUUUUGUUCUUACAAUGUAUAAUACAGAUAAAGGAUGAUUACUCAUACCUCAAAUUACCAAUAAAUGUCUCUGACAAACAUGUUAUGAACAGCUCAUGUUAAAAUGCAGAUGGCUCAGAUAAAGUAAAGUAUAUAGAUAUUUUAUUAAUUUAUUUACAGAAAUGUAUUUAUUUAUUUACUAACUUACUUAA